rnacentral:sRNA from 1 species
ACUGACCCUCGUCCCGCCCCCGCCAUUCCCCGCCUCCUCCUGUCCCGCAGUCGGCGUCCAGCGGCUCUGCUUGUUCGUGUGUGUGUCGUUGCAGGCCUUAUUCAUGGGCUCACCGCUGAGGUUCGACGGGCGGGUGGUACUGGUCACCGGCGCGGGGGCAGGAUUGGGCCGAGCCUAUGCCCUGGCUUUUGCAGAAAGAGGAGCGUUAGUUGUUGUGAAUGAUUUGGGAGGGGACUUCAAAGGAGUUGGUAAAGGCUCCUUAGCUGCUGAUAAGGUUGUUGAAGAAAUAAGAAGGAGAGGUGGAAAAGCAGUGGCCAACUAUGAUUCAGUGGAAGAAGGAGAGAAGGUUGUGAAGACAGCCCUGGAUGCUUUUGGAAGAAUAGAUGUGACUUGUAUCUUUUUAUAUUGUAGAUGUUGUGGUCAACAAUGCUGGAAUUCUGAGGGAUCGUUCCUUUGCUAGGAUAAGUGAUGAAGACUGGGAUAUAAUCCACAGAGUUCAUUUGCGGGGUUCAUUCCAAGUGACACGGGCAGCAUGGGAACACAUGAAGAAACA